rnacentral:lncRNA from 1 species
CAUCUUGCAACUUAAAUGAGUUCAAAUCAUCGAUUAUCGGGAUCGGACGGGUCGUGGCGGCUCAUACUAGUGUUUAAAGACAGAACGACACAAGAAACGUUUAACGGCACUUAUACCGAUCCUAUUAUUUUUUCGAUAUUUUGCAUCUUUUCUACUACAACGACAUCAAGCUUAGGACCCUCUAACUUAAGAAAGUCAGAAAUAUUGACCAUGUGACAAAUAACGAUAGAAUUCACAUAAAUUAUACGAUAUAGAGUUAGAAAAAUCACAAGUCGUUAUCUACAUUCAUUAAAAAAUAUAGUUAAUGAGCACAUUUCUCAAACUUUGUACACGACGUGUCCAUCUUGCAACUGAAAUGAGCUCAAAUCAUCGAUUAUCGAGGAUAGGACGGAUCAUGACGGCUCAUAUUAGUGUUUAAAGAUAGAACGACAUAAGUGACGUUUAACGGCACUUGUGCCGUUUCAAUAAUUUUUCCGAUAUUUUGCAUCUUUUCCACUACAAGUCAUUGUAUUGAUUCGUUAGAAAAUAUAAUCAAUGAGCACAUCUCUCAAUUUUUUGUAAAUGGAAUGUUCAUAUUGCAAUUGAAAUGAGUUCAACUUAUUAAUUCUCGGGACAUGGAUGGGUCGUGACUACGUAUACUUGUGUUUAUAGACAGAACGACACAAGUGUUGUUUAACAACUCUUGUGUCGUUAUGUUGAUUUCUCAAAUUUUGCUUCUUUUCGAAUGUAGCGACCUCAAACAUGGAUUCCCUAACUUAAAAAAGUUAGAAAUGUUGAUCACGUAAUAAAGAACGAUUGAAUUGACAUAAGUUAUGUGAUAUCGAGUUGGUGAAAUCAUAAGUAAUUGCAUUAAUUCGUAGAAAAUAUAAUUAAUGAGCACAUCUCUCAAUUUUUGUAAACGACAUAUCCAUCUUGCAACUGAAAUGAGUUUCGAGGUUAUCUAUACUCUGUUUAUAGAUAAAACGACACAAGUGUAGUUUUAUUUAAGUAACAGCACAAGUGCCGUUCUCAUGAAGAAAUUAUAUUUCGAUAAUGGCACUUGUGUCGUUCUUUUAGAACUUUUCAUUUCAGUAACGGCAGAAGUGUUGUUCAUAAUGACAUUUGCAUCCUCUAAGCGGCACUUGUUCCUUUUCUUUUAGAAUUUUUCAUUUCAAUAACAGUACAAAUGUCUUUCUCAAUGACCUUUCAUCCUCAAACAUUGGAUCUGUAAAGUAUGCAAGAAAAAUAAAUCACGUGACAAAGAAUGAUUGAAAUGAUGUAAAAUUAUUUAAUAUAAUUUUGUUGAAAGUACAAGUGAUUAUAUUAUUUUCAACAAAAUAAAAGUAAUGAGCAUGUCUCUUAAUUUUUUUUUAAAUGUUAUGUCCACCUUACAACUUAAUUGAGUUCAACUUAUUAUUUCUUGACUCGAGGAUAGUCGUAACUGCUUAAACUCGUAAUUAUUGAUAGAAUGGCACAAGUGCCGUUUCAUUAUUAGUAACGGCACUUGAGCUGUUCUAUUAAUUUCUCCUUUAUUUUCGUUUGUUUUCAAAGGUACAACCUUUAGAAUUGAACACCUUAAAUUGUGUUAUUCUCACAGUAAUAAUAGAAGUUUAUAUUUUAGUAACAUCACUUAUGUCGUUCUCUUGGAACUUUUAAUUUUAGUAACGGCGCUAAUACCGUUCUCAUAGACUUUUCAUCUCAACAACAACACAAGUGCCAUUUUCAUAGACAAGUAUAUUUACAAGCAUAAUGAUAGCUGGAAAAUUCUAAUAGACGUUCUCAUCUUAGUAGCGGCACAAGUAUCGUUCUCAUGGAAAAAUAAAUGUACAAUCAUAACGUCAGUCGUGCCAUCAUUGGGAAGCUAGAGUGACAAUUAAUGAGCAUAUUUCUCAAUCCAUAUUUAUAGAUAGAACGCGGAAUGGUCGUUUCAUUUCAGUAACGGCUUUUGUGUCGUUCUAUUGAUUUCUCCUAUAUUUUGGUUUUGUUCCAGCACAAUGAUUUCGAACAUUGGACCCCCUAACGAAGCAUAAACAUUUUUACGUCAGUAACAUACGUUAGGGAGUUCAUUAUUGAAUGUUGUUUUGUUUAAAAAAUUGGAUAUAGGUGAAACUUUCGAAACGACACAAUUGUCGUUACUGGACAUGAAAACGACACUUGUACUGUAACGUGCAUAAAUACGAAUAUAAGCAAUUAAGGUCCGUUUGUUCCCUAAAAAUAAUAAGUGAAACUUAUUUAUAUUAUAAUAAGUACAUGACACGUACAAAAGUUGAUAAAUAUGUUCAUUAAUUUAAUCGAUAAAUAUGAGUGUGAUGAUUUGUGCUUUUACCAUCUCAAUAAUAUAAUAUAUGUCAUUUCAAUCGUUUUUUCCUAGUCAAUCUUUU